rnacentral:rRNA from 1 species
GAUGAACGCUGACGGCGUGCCUAAUACAUGCAAGUCGAGCGAACGGACGAGAAGCUUGCUUUUCUGAUGUUAGCGGCGGACGGGUGAGUAACACGUGGAUAACCUACCUAUAAGACUGGGAUAACUUCGGGAAACCGGAGCUAAUACCGGAUAAUAUUUUGAACCGCAUGGUUCAAAAGUGAAAGACGGUCUUGCUGUCACUUAUAGAUGGAUCCGCGCUGCAUUAGCUAGUUGGUAAGGUAACGGCUUACCAAGGCAACGAUGCAUAGCCGACCUGAGAGGGGGAUCGGCCACACGGGAACUGAGACACGGUCCAGACUCCUACGGGAGGCAGCAGUAGGGAAUCUUCCGCAGUGGGCGGAAGCCUGACGGAGCAACGCCGCGUGAGUGAUGAAGGUCUUCGGAUCGUAAAACUCUGUUAUUAGGGAAGAACAUAUGUGUAAGUAACUGUGCACAUCUUGACGGUACCUAAUCAGAAAGCCACGGCUAACUACGUG